rnacentral:tRNA from 1 species
GUUUAGAUAGCUUAAAUAGAGCGUUGCAUUGAAGAUGCAAAGGAGAGUUAUCUCUGGAUA